AGGGUACUGGCUUCAAGAGGUGGAAAUGCCAGUAUGACUAGGAGGAUGCAUUAGAGGAUGGGAGAAUCUGAGGCAGAAACCUGGCUAGCUUCAGAAGCGCAGGUGAGAAGUGACAAGUGUCAGAAACAUCACAAUGGCAGCAUGCAUACUGAUGGUAAUAAAAGGCAUUCAAAAUUAAACCCAGAACACAGGAGGAAACAAGGAAGUGGGGUCUGAGGUGGCCCUAGAGCAUCUGGCCAGGAGCCAGGGGCCAGUUGCCAGGUACUAAGGGGAUAAACAGGUUUAGUGUGGGAUUCAGGAUGUGCAUAUGGACCUACAGCCUCAUCCAAUAGGAAGUAUGGGAGACACACAGGGAGAAAUGUCCAAUAGACAGCUGGAAAAAUAUAUCUAGUGUCUAGAAAAGGCCAGCAACAUAAAUUGAGGAGUUAGUGGCCCAAAGGCCAGAAUCACUGAAGUGGGAUAAAAUAGUCCUCAAUGCCUGUACAGAGUCAAAAGAGACUGGUGGGUUUAUGAUAAAACCCUGAAAAAUAUGAGUGUUUAAGGAAACACAGAGACAGGAGUUGUUUUUCUCAGCACACUCCUUGCUGCUAAUACACACACCUGCACUGGAUGGUCUGCCUCUGGGCACUUCCUGAAGACACCACUCAUUUUUACACCAACAUGUAUUUGGUGUUGAUUUAGAAAAUAUUUAUUGACUACAUACUUGGCUAAAGAGUUAGAUAUCAUUCCUGUGGGCUGCUUUAAUGCUUUAUUUAUAUGUCUAUUGGAGUUUAUGGCUUUCGCCUAUCAUCUUUUCACAGCCACCCCACCUUGGCUGAAGAAGACAUGUCCCAAGACCCCCAGUGAAUGCUUCAAACCACAGAUUUUGAGCUCCCAGAAAUUAUGUGUGUCAGGAUUCCCAGCCCCACUCACAGAAUGCUUACUCACUGAAUGCAGAGUGAAACUUGCCAUUAAGGUGAGGAGGUCAGAUAUAUGGAAAUGAUAACAAAGAAUAAAAUUUUUCUUCGAGAUUACCAUUUAAUCAUUGCUAUUCAAAUCCAGUGAGUUUUCU
rnacentral:lncRNA from 1 species